AGCCCGCUCAGAAACUACAAAGGAAUUGACGGGGGCCCGCACAAGCGGUGGAGCAUGUGGUUUAAUUCGAUGAUACGCGAGGAACCUUACCUGGGCUCAAAUGUAUGUUGACGUAUUCUGAAAGGGAUACUUCUUCGGACAAUAUACAAGGUGCUGCAUGGUUGUCGUCAGCUCGUGCCGUGAGGUGUCGGGUUAAGUCCCAUAACGAGCGCAACCCCUAUCAUUAGUUGCCAUCAGGUCAAGCUGGGGACUCUAAUGAAACUGCCUACGCAAGUAGUGAGGAAGGUGGGGAUGACGUCAAGUCCUCAUGGCCUUUAUGACCAGGGCUACACACGUACUACAAUGGCCGAUACAAAGGGCAGCGACACUGCGAGGUGAAGCCAAUCCCGUAAAAUCGGUCUCAGUCCGGAUUGGAGUCUGCAACUCGACUCCAUGAAGUUGGAAUCGCUAGUAAUCGUGGAUCAGCAUGCCACGGUGAAUACGUUCCCGGGCCUU
rnacentral:rRNA from 1 species